rnacentral:rRNA from 1 species
AACGAAGGCUGGCGGCAUGCCUAACACAUGCCAGUCGAACGAGACCUUCGGGUCUAGUGGCGCACGGGUGCGUAACGCGUGGGAACCUGCCCUUAGGUUCGGAAUAACUCCCCGAAAGGGGUGCUAAUACCGGAUAAUGUCUUCGGACCAAAGAUUUAUCGCCUUUGGAUGGGCCCGCGUUGGAUUAGCUAGUUGGUAGGGUAAAAGCCUACCAAGGCGACGAUCCAUAGCUGGUCUGAGAGGAUGAUCAGCCACACUGGGACUGAGACACGGCCCAGACUCCUACGGGAGGCAGCAGUGGGGAAUAUUGGACAAUGGGCGAAAGCCUGAUCCAGCAAUGCCGCGUGAGUGAUGAAGGCCUUAGGGUUGUAAAGCUCUUUUACCCGGGAUGAUAAUGACAGUACCGGGAGAAUAAGCUCCGGCUAACUCCGUG